GGUCUUUGUGACCAGAGAUCCCCAGCCCCGCCCUGGGGGACUCUGAGGCGGCCAAGUGCCUUCUUGGGCUGAUGCAACAAGGGCGGGGUUGAAGCGCUCCUCCCAGAAGUCCGCGGGGCUGGUCCCACACCCCAGACCUCCCUCCCCACCUCUGACACCCCACAGGUACACACUCGGGAGGGGCGGCCUCGCCACGUGGCCACUGAGAUUUCUGGAAUGGUUGUUACAUGGCACAGCCUCACCUGUCCUGACAGGUGCUUCUCAGAAGUAGUUAGCACAAGUAAACCUAAUAGAUGCAUUGCCUGUGUGCACUAAUACUUAAGGAAUAUCAGUCUGAAGAGGCUCCAAGAUGUUAGGCUGUGUAGAAGUGUCUGAUUUUAAGACACAAAAGGGCUCGGCAAGGAGACAGAGACAGGAACCGAAUCUCAGGGUAUGGGCAGCACAGAACGCCCCUGGCUCCCUGGGACACCUGCUGCUGGAAGACGGCUUCUCUCGAGGUGCUGGCCGUCUCCCUGGGAACUACCACACAUGGUCGCGGAGUGUGCCCACAGCACUUACAAAGCAGGGUGAGCAAAGCGAGAAUGGGUACCUUGCACAGCAGCCCCUGGAGGCAGGGACAGUCAGCGUCCAGGCCUAGAGGAUGGAAUGUCACAGCUUUAUUCCCGCAUUCCCUGGUAACUUGGGCUGCAAGGACAACUUGUUACUAACGUUUUCUGGGAGUGACUGUAUUGGUAAAAUCAUGAAAAUGCGGUGGGUUUCUUCCGGAAAUGUUUCCCCAGAACAGAAGCAUCUUCAACAUGCCCAGUUCACUGUAACUCCGAAGAAGAAAACCAGAUGUGUCUACUCUUUCCAGGGCCAAGAGGCAUAUGCUCCUUACAUCUCUCCUCAUAUUAGAAGUCCUUUCUUUGUCUUUGGAGAAGAGCGUCUAGAGACUUGAGCGUUCACAGAGAAGAACCGCGCACGGCUCUCGGCCGCCUGAAAAGACGUCCAGCCCCCGCGAGAGAAGCUAGCCAGGCGUAGGUGACAUUGCAACCAGGGCAGGCAUGGCCCCAGGUCCCAGCGGGAAGCUGCAGGCGCCUGGGGAAGGCCAGCCACGUGGGGGGGUGUUCAUUCUGCACAGACAGCACCCCCACUGGCUCCAAUCUACGCCCAGCCCCACUGGAGGCAUCCGGGAGUCUUUGACCCUCUUCUGCUUUCUUCACUGUGCCUUUUGACCUUGGUCUCCCCACCUGGAGUGUCCUUUCUCUUCUCUACCUGGUUAACUCCUGGUUAACUGAGCUGUCAGGACCUGGUUUGCAGGCCCUCGGCUCACCUACAGCCCUCCGCCGGCUGUAGCGGGAGCUGGGGAAGCCUCGAACUUGUGACCACAGGGGAGUCCACACGAACACGCCGGGGGUCCACGAUGGCGUAAAGGCACCGAAGGAGAGAAUGCAGCCGCCUUCAGCCGCCUGAUUCAGACUUGAGACAAUCAAAGGACUCAGUAUUCUUCUGACGGCAGUUUGGGCCAACGGCUGUUACUUUAGUUUGCCAUUUUAACAAAUAAGAAGAUGUUUUUAUUCCUCUUGGGAAGCAGCAACUCUCCUCUGACUCGGGCCCGUUCAUACUUUCCCUGAAGAGUAAGGAGUGUAUUUUUCUUUGACACACAUUUAUUUUUAAAAAGGGGUUAAGUACUGAAACUGUUGAGAUUUUCUUUCGGAACGGAAAUAAAA
ensembl:lncRNA